AGUUCGAUCAUGGUUGAACGCUGGCGGGAUGCUUUACUACGCAAGUCAGAACGUUAAGGCACUUUGACCUUCGGUCUGGUGGCGAGUGGCGAACGGGUGAGUAAUGUAUCGGAAUCAGCUCAGUAGCGGAGACCACGCCAGCAAAGCGUAGCCGUAAUAUCGCAUACGCCCUCGGGGAAAGCGGGGACCUUCGCCUCGCACUAUUAGGAGCGGCCGGAUAUCGGAUUAGCUAGUUGGUGGGGUAACGGCUCACCAAGGCGACGAUCCGUAGCCGGUUUGAGAGGACGACCAGCCACACUGGGACUGAGACACGGCCCAGACUCCUACGGAGGCAGCAGUGGGGGAAUUUGGACAAUGGGGGGGGAAACCCUGAUCCAGCCAUCUCCGCGUGCGUGCGAUGAAGGUCUUCUGGGGUUGUAAAAAAGGAAUUCCUGGCGGAAAGAAACGGCACGGGAUAAUACUCCCGUGCAACUGACGGUACCGGCAGAAUAGCACCACAACUACGCCAGCAGCCGCGGUAAUACGUAGGGUGCAAGCGUUAAUCGGAAUUACUGGGCGUAGCGUGCGCAGGCGGUUCGGAAAGAAAGAUGCGGAAAUCCCAGAGCUUAACUUUGGAACUGCAUUUUUAACUACCGAGCUAGAGGUGUCAGAGGAGGUGCAAUUCCUGCGUGUAGCAGUGAAACGGCGUAGAUAUGCGGAGGAACACCGAUGGUUAGCGCAGCCUCCUGGAUAACACUGACGCUCAUGCACGAAAGCGUGGGGAGCAAACAGAUUAGAUACCCCGGUAGUCCACGCCCUAAACGAUGUCAACUAGCUGUUGGGGCCUUCGGGCCUGGUAGCGCAGCUAACGGUGAAGUUGACCGCCUGGGGAGUACGGUCGCAAGAUUAAAACUCAAAGGAAUUGGACGGGGACCCGCACAAGCGGUGGAUGAUAAAGGGAUUAAUUGAUGCAACGCGAAAAACCUUACCUACCCUUGACAUGUCUGGAAAUCCCGAAGCGAUUUGGGAGUGCUCGCAAGAGAACUGAAACAUAGAAAGCGUAUGGCUGUCGUCAGCUCGUGUCGUGAGAUGUUGGGUUAAGUCCCGCAACGAGCGCAACCCUUGUCAUUAUUGCUACGAAAGGGCACUCCCACGAGACUGCCGGUGACAAACCGGAGGAAGGUGGGGAUGACGUCAAGUCCUCAUGGCCCUUAUGGGUAGGGCUUCAACACGUCAUACACGCCGGUCGGGACAGGUCGCCAACCCGCGAGGGGGAGCCAAUCCCAGAAACCCGAUCGUAGUCCGGAUCGGUCUGCAACUCGACUGCGUGGAAGUCGGAAUCGCUAGUACUCCGAUCAGGCAUGUCGCAGAAUAUGCCGUUCCUGGCCUUGUACACACCGCCCGUCACACCAUGGAGCUCUUACCAGAAAAAGUUAGCCUAACCGUGUAAGGAGGGCGAUUACCACGGUAGGAUUCAUGAUCAGUGAAGUCGUAACAAGGUAA
rnacentral:rRNA from 1 species